rnacentral:rRNA from 1 species
GACGUAGGAGGCGAGCGUUAUCCGGAUUCACUGGGCGUAAAAGCGCAAGUAGGCGGUUUGUGAAAGUCCGUUGUUAAAGCCCCUUGGCUCAACUGGGGGAGGGUCAAUGGAGACUUUAUGACGUUGAGGGCAACAGAGGCAUGUGGAACUCCCGGUGUAGCGGUGGAAUGCGUAGAGAUCGGGAAGAACACCCGUGGCGAAGGGCGACAUGCUGGGUGCACCGUGACGCUGAGUUGGCG